rnacentral:rRNA from 1 species
UACGUAGGUGACGAGCGUUAUCCGGAUUUAUUGGGCGUAAAGCGCACGCAGGCGGCAGAGAAAGUCUGACGUGAAAUCUCCCGGCUUAACUGGGAGCGGUCGUUGGAAACUACUUGGCUUGAGGCGAUGAGAGGGGUGUGGAACUCCCGGUGUAGUGGUGGAAUGCGUAGAUAUCGGGGGGAACAUCAGUGGCGAAAGCGGCACCCUGGCAUUAGCCUGACGCUCAUGUGCGAAAGCGUGGGGAGCGAACGGG